rnacentral:rRNA from 1 species
UGGCGAACGGGUGAGUAACGCGUGAGGAACCUGCCUCAAAGAGGGGGACAACAGUUGGAACGACUGCUAAUACCGCAUAAGCCCACGGGUCGGCAUCGACCUGAGGGAAAAGGAGCAAUCCGCUUUGAGAUGGCCUCGCGUCCGAUUAGCUAGUUGGUGAGGUAACGGCCCACCAAGGCGACGAUCGGUAGCCGGACUGAGAGGUUGAACGGCCACAUUGGGACUGAGACACGGCCCAG